rnacentral:rRNA from 1 species
UGUUUCGGCUAGGGGGUCAUCCCGACUUACCAACCCGAUGCAAACUACGAAUACCGAAGAAUGUUAUCACGGGAGACACACGGCGGGUGCUAACGUCCGUCGUGAAGAGGGAAACAACCCAGACCGCCAGCUAAGGUCCCAAAGUCAUGGUUAAGUGGGAAACGAUGUGGGAAGGCACAGACAGCCAGGAUGUUGGCUUAGAAGCAGCCAUCAUUUAAAGAAAGCGUAAUAGCUCACUGGUCGAGUCGGCCUGCGCGGAAGAUGUAACGGGGCUAAACCAUGCACCGAAGCUGCGGCAGCGACACUAUGUGUUGUUGGGUAGGGGAGCGUUCUGUAAGCCUGCGAAGGUGUGCUGUGAGGCAUGCUGGAGGUAUCAGAAGUGCGAAUGCUGACAUAAGUAACGAUAAAGCGGGUGAAAAGCCCGCUCGCCGGAAGACCAAGGGUUCCUGUCCAACGUUAAUCGGGGCAGGGUGAGUCGACCCCUAAGGCGAGGCCGAAAGGCGUAGUCGAUGGGAAACAGGUUAAUAUUCCUGUACUUGGUGUUACUGCGAAGGGGGGACGGAGAAGGCUAUGUUAGCCGGGCGACGGUUGUCCCGGUUUAAGCAUGUAGGCUGAUUGUCCAGGCAAAUCCGGAUAAUCAAGGCUGAGGUGUGAUGACGAGGCACUACGGUGCUGAAGUAACAAAUGCCCUGCUUCCAGGAAAAGCCUCUAAGCAUCAGGUAACAUUAAAUCGUACCCCAAACCGACACAGGUGGUCAGGUAGAGAAUACCAAGGCGCUUGAGAGAACUCGGGUGAAGGAACUAGGCAAAAUGGUGCCGUAACUUCGGGAGAAGGCACGCUGGUGUGUAGGUGAAGUCCCUGCGGAUGGAGCUGAGACCAGUCGAAGAUACCAGCUGGCUGCAACUGUUUAUUAAAAACACAGCACUGUGCAAACACGAAAGUGGACGUAUACGGUGUGACGCCUGCCCGGUGCCGGAAGGUUAAUUGAUGGGGUUAUCCGUAAGGAGAAGCUCUUGAUCGAAGCCCCGGUAAACGGCGGCCGUAACUAUAACGGUCCUAAGGUAGCGAAAUUCCUUGUCGGGUAAGUUCCGACCUGCACGAAUGGCGUAAUGAUGGCCAGGCUGUCUCCACCCGAGACUCAGUGAAAUUGAACUCGCUGUGAAGAUGCAGUGUACCCGCGGCAAGACGGAAAGACCCCGUGAACCUUUACUAUAGCUUGACACUGAACAUUGAGCCUUGAUGUGUAGGAUAGGUGGGAGGCUUUGAAGCGUGGACGCCAGUCUGCGUGGAGCCAACCUUGAAAUACCACCCUUUAAUGUUU